CAGCCGCCGCGGUAAUACGAAGGGGGCUAGCGUCGCUCGGAAUUACUGGGCGUAAAGGGAGCGUAGGCGGAUCGUUAAGUUGGGGGUGAAAGCCCGGGGCUCAACCUCGGAAUUGCCUUCAAUACUGGCGAUCUUGAGUAUGGAAGAGGUAUGUGGAACUCCGAGUGUAGAGGUGAAAUUCGUAGAUAUUCGGAAGAACACCAGUGGCGAAGGCGACAUACUGGUCCAUUACUGACGCUGAGGCUCGAAAGCGUGGGGAGCAAACAGGAUUAGAUACCCCCGUAGUCCCUGUCUCUUAUAC
rnacentral:rRNA from 1 species